rnacentral:rRNA from 1 species
CUAUCUUUUAAAAUAUAAAAUAUUUUAGUACGAAAGGAAUAAAUAUUUAAAUUAAAUUUAAUUAUUUAAAUUGAAUUUUAUUAAUAUUUAUAUAUAUAUAUAUAUAUAUAAUAUAUAUUAUACAAUUAUAUUAUUAUUAUUAUUAAUUUAAAAUAUU